ACCCGUGAGACCUAAAAACCCACGCACUCCUUUGACAUUCUUAGGUUCAGGCCACUCCAUGAUACACCUAAUCUUCCCUGGAUCUACUGCUACACCCUCACCAGAAAUGAUAUGACCCAGGUAGUCAAUCUGUUUACAUCCAAAUUUGCACUUUGCCUUAUUAGCAACAAAGCAAUGCAAUUUUAGAAUUGUCAACACUUGCUUCAAGUGCUCUAAGUGUUCAGUUUCAUUCCGACUAUACACAAGAAUGUCAUCAAAGAAUACCAACACAAAGCUUCUAAGAUAGGGUCUAAAAAUAUCAUUCAUAGUGGCUUGGAACGUGGCUGGAGCGUUCAUUAAUCCAAAAGGCAUAACAAGGUAUUCAUAGUGCCCAUUAUGAGUCCUAAAAGCAGUUUUCUCAACAUCAUUUUCAUGGACACGAAUCUGAUGAUAACCAGAUUUUAGAUCUAUCUUAGAAAAAAUUGUUUCCCCAUACAACUCAUCUAGCAACUCAUCGACAAUAGGGAUGGGGUACUUAUCUGGGACAGUAGCUUUGUUCAAAGCUCUAUAGUCGACACACAUACGCCAUGAACCAUCUUUCUUCUUGACUAAGAUUACUGGACUAGAAAAAGCACUCAUGCUUGGUUGAAUCACUCCCGCAAUCAACAACUCUGUCACUUGUUUUUCAAUUUCUUCCUUUUGGUGAUGUGGAUAUCUAUAUGGCCUCACAUUAAUAGGACCAUGCUCUGGGAAUAACUUGAUUUGAUGCACCUGUUUUCUUUCAGGAGGCAGUGUUAUUUUCUCUUGGAACACAUAAAAAAAUUGGCCCAACAGUUUAGUCACUUCCUCAUGCCCAACUUCUGAUGUUGCCUCUACUUCAUCAUGAUUAGUCCACCACCAAUCUUCAUCACCUCUCCUGUGUUUGUCCUCCAAGAAAGAUUGUAAGCACCCUUGUCUCCCUUGGAACCUACCUUGAGAUUGCAGAUUAAUCAUCUUUCCCUCAUAUAAAAACUGCAUAGAAAGAUCCUUCCAGUCCACUACCACUUUCCCUAGAGUACUCAACCAUGAUACCCCUAACACCACAUCCAAACCUCCCAACUCCAGCACUAAAGCAUCAACCACAAAUGUUUGAGAACCCAAACUGAUCCUAACUCCCUCACAUAAUCCUUUAGAAAGAACCUUAUGACCAUCUCCCAAUCUGAUCGUUUUAGCUGCCAUAGGGGUAAUUUGCAACCCUAAAGCAGUAGUUAUUUCUGGGGAUAUGAAGUUAUGGCUAGCUCCACUAUCAAUUAAGACCACCACUUCGAUGCCGGCAAUCUUUCCAUCUAUCUUCAUCGUGUGAAAUUCCCCCAUACUCCCCAUCACUCCAAUAAUUUUGCAUUCAGCUUCUACAUCUUCGUCUUCUUCCUCAGUCUCCACAGUUUCGAUGGAAACAAUCUCACCUUCUUCAUUCACCCCUUCACCUUCUCCCAAAAUGAGGACACGCAUUGAAUGUUCAGGACAUUUGUGAAGAGUGGGAUGAAAUUUUCCUCCACAUUUGAAACACAGUCCCUUAGCUCGCCGUUCUGCCAUUUCAUCAUUUUGAAUACUCCAAACUCCCUUCCACCGUUCUGAAACUAGCAUGCGACGAUCGUUUUCACCUUUCUUUCCUGUCGAACUCAAAGAUGAAGUGGAAAUAAGGUUUGACGCAGUUGAACCCGUUUUCUGCCCCGGGUUGUUCCAACCCGAAUUUGAAAAUCGGGUAGAAUCUGUGUGGGCCUGAUUUGACCCGCUCCGGAAUUUGGACGCUUGCCCACCCCAUUCGUUUUGGCCCAAACGAUAACCCACCGACUUCUUCCCAUAACGUCUUUCACCAUCAUCGUCCUCGUCCUUCAGCUCGUCCUCAACAUCCUUUGCAUACGAUUAUGAGGAUUUAAGGUUCUCACUCUCCUUCGAAUUUGAGCUUUCAACCCACUCAUAAAGUACCCCAGGUACUGCUCCUCAGGGAGUCGUCCCACCUGCGACGAGAAGAGUUCAAACGCUUCGACAAAUUCUUCCACACUCCCUGUUUGUCUCAACGUCGACAAUUCUUCAAAAGGAUUCUCUAACCGCCUCCCACCGUAACGGGCGAUCAACGCUCGUUUCAGUUUCUCCCACGAUAACUCGUCCUCCGUUUCCAUCAAAAGAUUGAACCAGUGAAUGGUUGAACUUUCCAUGCUUAGGCGCGCCAAUUUCACACGCAUCUCCUCCGAUGUGUUUUGAACAUCAAAGUAGAUCUUAGCUCGUGUAAUCCACGCUACUGGGUCCUCUCCUUCAAACAGUGGAAGCUUCACCUUCUUCCCUGCAAGACGAGACUCACUAUGUGAUGAAUCACCCGUAGAGUCCUCCUGCCUCGCUGUCUUCUUCCCCAUCUGUUUGCUUAAUUCUGUCAUGAUCACACUCUGCUGUUGCAUUUGUUGCGCAUGUUGUUGCAUUUGCAAAGCAAGCUCCUGCAGCGUCAUCGUCACGUUUUCAACCUGAGUUUCCAAAGCUUCAAGUCGGUCACCCAUCCUUGUCAUGAACAAUCUCCGUCACAGAGAACGAUUUGAAAUCCGGCAGGUCGGACCAAUUGAUGGGUUAUAUAACAGAUAACAAAAUAACACAGCAAAAGAAUGGACAAUCUGUAAUUAUAUUGAUGGAAGAAAUGACAAAUUACAGAUAAAACAAAGAUAGAAUGUAUUGAUAGUGAUAGCUAUCAACCCAAAGCACUAACGGCUUCCCUCACCUCAAGGUGAUCUCAUUUCUCUCUCCCAAUCCCAAAUUCUCUCCUCUUAUUCUCUCUUCCCUCCGCACACUAAAUACUAACUACUUCACGUGCUCCUCAUCACCCUUUUUGCCAGCUCAUCCUCUUUCAUUCCCUUCCCACGUUUCCUCUUGUAAACUCUCCAAACCUGGGGCUUAUAAUUCUCCUCAAGGCCCACUUCAUUAUUUUUGUUUCUAUCAGAAAGAGAAAGUUGAGUAAUGAGUUCAAAACUGAAUUCAAUGAAUGGGUUGUUACAAUGAGAUACUUAAAACAGAAAAUAGAAGUGCUAACUCCGCUAGUCAAUUGGCCUAUAACUGAAGCCCUAUUAGCAGAAACCACAACUGAAUUUUUCUAUUCACAUAUUAGUAUGCAAAAGCCUG
rnacentral:lncRNA from 1 species